AGGGCACCACCAGGAGUGGAGCCUGCGGCUUAAUUUGACUCAACACGGGGAAACUCACCCGGCCCGGACACCGUAAGGAUUGACAGAUUGAUAGCUUUUUCAUGAUUCGGUGGAUGGUGGUGCAUGGCCGCUCUUAGUUCGUGGAGCGAUUUGUCUGGUUUAUUCCGAUAACGAGCGAGACUCUAGCCUACUAAAUAGUUCGCACAUUGUCUCCGGGUGUGUGACUUCUUAGAGGGAUUUUCGGUGUUCAGCCGCACGAAAUUGAGCAAUAACAGGUCUGUGAUGCCCUUAGAUGUCCGGGGCUGCACGCGCGCUACACUGGCAAAAUCAGCGUGCUUGUCCUUCCCCGAAGGGGGUCGGUAAACCCUUGAAAAUUUGCCGUGAUUGGGAUUGGAGAUUGCAAUUAUUUUCCAUGAACGAGGAAUUCCAAGUAGGUGCGAGUCAUCAUCUCGCGUUGAUUACGUCCCUGCCCUUUGUACACACCGCCCGUCGCUACUACCGAUUGGAAGUAGACGAGAG
rnacentral:rRNA from 1 species